CUGGUCCCUCGGGGCCCCUCUUCGGAGGAGCAGGCACGCCGGCGGCCAACCUAACUCUUGUUUUUACACUGAAACUCUGAGUACAAAACAUAAAUGAAUCAAAACUUUCAACAACGGAUCUCUUGGUUCUGGCAUCGAUGAAGAACGCAGCGAAAUGCGAUAAGUAAUGUGAAUUGCAGAAUUCAGUGAAUCAUCGAAUCUUUGAACGCACAUUGCGCCCUCUGGUAUUCCGGAGGGCAUGCCUGUUCGAGCGUCAUUUCAACCCUCAAGCCUGGCUUGGUGAUGGGGCACUGCCUGUAAAAGGGCAGGCCCUGAAAUUCAGUGGCGAGCUCGCCAGGACCCCGAGCGCAGUAGUUAAACCCUCGCUUUGGAAGGCCCUGGCGGUGCCCUGCCGUUAAACCCCCAACUUUUGAAAAUUUGACCUCGGAUCAGGUAGGAAUACCCGCUGAACUUAAGCAUAUCAAUAAGCGGAGGAA
rnacentral:rRNA from 1 species